GACGAACGCUGGCGGCGUGCUUAACACAUGCAAGUCGAACGGUGAAGCGCCUUCCUUUUUGGUGGGUGUGGAUGAGUGGCGAACGGGUGAGUAACACGUGAGUAACCUGCCCCCUUCUUCUGGAUAACCGCAUGAAAGUGUGGCUAAUACGGGAUAUUCUGGGUCUGUCGCAUGAUGGGUCUGGGAAAGAUAUUGUUUCGGUGGGGGAUGGGCUCGCGGCCUAUCAGCUUGUUGGUGGGGUGAUGGCCUACCAAGGCGGUGACGGGUAGCCGGCCUGAGAGGGUGGACGGUCACACUGGGACUGAGACACGGCCCAGACUCCGACGGGGGGCAGCAGUGGGGAAUAUUGCACAAUGGGCGCAAGCCUGAUGCAGCGACGCCGCGGGAGGGAUGGAGGCCUGCGGGUUGUGAACCUCUUUCGCCAGUGAAGCAGGCCUGCCUCGUUUGUGGGUGGGUUGACGGUAGCUGGAUAAGAAGCGCCGGCUAACUACGUG
rnacentral:rRNA from 1 species